AGUGAACGCUGGCGGUAGGCCUAACACAUGCAAGUCGAACGGCAGCACAGUAAGAGCUUGCUCUUACGGGUGUCGAGUGGCGGACGGGUGAGGAAUACAUCGGAAUCUACUUUUUCGUGGGGGAUAACGUAGGGAAACUUACGCUAAUACCGCAUACGACCUACGGGUGAAAGCAGGGGAUCUUCGGACCUUGCGCGAUUGAAUGAGCCGAUGUCGGAUUAGCUAGUUGGCGGGGUAAAGGCCCACCAAGGCGACGAUCCGUAGCUGGUCUGAGAGGAUGAUCAGCCACACUGGAACUGAGACACGGUCCAGACGCCUACGGGAGGCAGCAGUGGGGAAUAUUGGACAAUGGGCGCAAGCCUGAUCCAGCCAUACCGCGUGGGUGAAGAAGGCCUUCGGGUUGUAAAGCCCUUUUGUUGGGAAAGAAAAGCAGCAGGUUAAUACCCCGCUGUUCUGACGGUACCCAAAGAAUAAGCACCGGCUAACUUCGUG
rnacentral:rRNA from 1 species